GACGAACGCUGGCGGCGCGCCUAACACAUGCAAGUCGAACGGAGCUGAGAGAAGCUUGCUUUUCUUAGCUUAGUGGCGAACGGGUGAGUAACGCGUGAGUAACCUGCCCUGGAGUGGGGGACAACAGUUGGAAACGACUGCUAAUACCGCAUAAGCCCACGAUCCGGCAUCGGAUUGAGGGAAAAGGAUUUAUUCGCUUCAGGAUGGACUCGCGUCCAAUUAGCUAGUUGGUGAGGUAACGGCCCACCAAGGCGACGAUUGGUAGCCGGACUGAGAGGUUGAACGGCCACAUUGGGACUGAGACACGGCCCAGACUCUUACGGGAGGCAGCAGUGGGGGAUAUUGCACAAUGGGGGAAACCCUGAUGCAGCGACGCCGCGUGGAGGAAGAAGGUUUUCGGAUUGUAAACUCCUGUCGUUAGGGACGAUAAUGACGGUACCUAACAAGAAAGCACCGGCUAACUACGUG
rnacentral:rRNA from 1 species